GCCGAAGUGGCGAAAUUGGUAGACGCACUGGAUUCAAAAUCCAGCGCCGUUUAACGGCAUGUCGGUUCAAGUCCGACCUUCGGCACCA
rnacentral:tRNA from 1 species